rnacentral:lncRNA from 1 species
CUUGAGAGAGUAACAUGCUGCUGAGACCAUCUGGACAGUGUACAUGACUGAACCCGGUUAAAGCCUUUAUAUAAACUUCUAAGAUGCUGGUGGGCAGCUACGGAGAUCUACUUGUCUUGCUGCCACACAAGAGAAGCCUCGCAUUUUUCCCAAGCUUCAAACUCUGGAAAGCCAACCUUCUCCCUUCAAUGUAUCUGGAAUAGAGAAUUCCACAAGGAUCUCUUCUUUUGCAAGAAGACCUCACCUGCUGAUAAGACCAGAAGAUAUGGCAGAGCAUCUGGGACCAGGACUGCAGGGUCAAUAAUACUAGGAGCAUUUGGUACUGAGCCAAUCGCUUUUCUCCAUGUGGAAUGAUGAUUUGGUUGAAGAGACGGAAGUAACCUCUGCAAGAGUACAGAUGCAGGUUCCGAAAAAAUACCUACGCCAUUCCAAGCCUCUGCAUUCGGGUAUGUGAAUUCAAAAUGGCUAAUAGCCCAACUCCCAGGACUCCACACAGCAAGCCAAGCUUUCCCCUCCGGUAAAGACAGCUGGCUCAUUUUCAUUUACACGGAUCAUUCCUCUUCAACUCUGUAAGAUUGAGAUAUAAAUUUGUUGAGAUUUGUUUUGUCUAUUAUAAUGCAUUGAGUAUAAACUUGGAAUGAAAAGAUAGGCGUUCAAGUGCAGAUUCUAUAUUCUUUCUCAAUGCCUGACACGCGAGGAUUCAAGUUUUAAAUUUAUUUAGAGCUGGUACUGGCAGAGAUCUAGAGGUCAUGGUGGUAAUAAGCCAAACAGAAGGCAAUAAUGCAGCGCUGUCUGCUAAGGUCAACCUCUGUGGACACUGGAAACAUGAAGCUGGAAAUGGAGAACGUCCCCAACUCAAUUCAACAAGGCCAAAUGUAAUGGGCAUAUGGUAGGCAUUCAGCUUGUGGCAAACAAAACAAUUAAUAGAAUCUGAAUAUAAAAUGUUGCUGAAAAACUUUGCAAUCCAGAAAUUUAUAAAUAUUUACUGGACUAACCAAUAGUUACUAUUAUAACUUAGCCUAGAAAUUAUUAACCAUGCAUGACUAAUACUGAUUUUCCAUUCCAUGAGAGCCAUUAUGAUUGUUUUGUUCACCACUCUAUCUGUGGUGCCUACAAGAGGGCCUGAAAUGUAUUAGGUCGUCAAAAAUAUUUAUCAUGAAUGAACAAAGAGAUGAACAAGAAGACAUAGCCUAUGAUUUAUCUACAAUUAUUUGUCACACUUGUAUUUAUAAAAUUAAUUUUCCAACAGCUUUGAAGUAAUCCACCAAACUCCCAAGUACUUUUUUCCAUUUUG